UACGGAGGGAGCUAGCGUUGUUCGGAAUUACUGGGCGUAAAGCGCACGUAGGCGGCUCUGUAAGUUAGAGGUGAAAGCCCGGGGCUCAACCCCGGAAUUGCCUUUAAGACUGCAUCGCUUGAAUCCGGGAGAGGUGAGUGGAAUUCCGAGUGUAGAGGUGAAAUUCGUAGAUAUUCGGAAGAACACCAGUGGCGAAGGCGGCUCACUGGACCGGUAUUGACGCUGAGGUGCGAAAGCGUGGGGAGCAAACAGG
rnacentral:rRNA from 1 species